rnacentral:rRNA from 1 species
UACGGGGGGAGCAAGCGUUGUUCGGAUUUACUGGGCGUAAAGGGCGCGUAGGCGGCGCGGUAAGUCACUUGUGAAAUCUCUGAGCUUAACUCAGAACGGCCAAGUGAUACUGCAGUGCUAGAGUGCAGAAGGGGCAAUCGGAAUUCUUGGUGUAGCGGUGAAAUGCGUAGAUAUCAAGAGGAACACCUGAGGUGAAGACGGGUUGCUGGGCUGACACUGACGCUGAAGCGCGAAAGCCAGGGGAGCAAACGGG